CCCCCCUGCAAUGAGCAAAGAGAUACCUUGUUAGUGCUGUUGCUCUCAAAUCAGUCAGGGGCAGAGCAGAUAGCAGUCCAUUGUUCAUCCUAGCUUGGUGCCCAGUUUGGUGGCUGUGAUGGUUUGUAUAUGCUUGGCCCAGGA